AGAACGAACGCUGGCGGCAGGCCUAACACAUGCAAGUCGAACGCUCGUAGCAAUACGAGAGUGGCAGACGGGUGAGUAACGCGUGGGAACCUUCCCAGUGGUACGGAAUAGCUCAGGGAAACUUGAGGUAAUACCGUAUACGCCCCUCGGGGGAAAGAUUUAUCGCCAUUGGAUGGGCCCGCGUAGGAUUAGCUAGUUGGUGAGGUAACGGCUCACCAAGGCGACGAUCCUUAGCUGGUCUGAGAGGAUGAUCAGCCACACUGGGACUGAGACACGGCCCAGACUCCUACGGGAGGCAGCAGUGGGGAAUAUUGGACAAUGGGCGCAAGCCUGAUCCAGCCAUGCCGCGUGAGUGACGAAGGCCUUAGGGUGUAAAGCUCGUUUUGGCGGGGAAGAUAAUGACGGUACCCGCAGAAUAAGCUCCGGCUAACUUCGUGCCAGCAGCCGC
rnacentral:rRNA from 1 species